UGGAGAUCCAAGCUGUUUACCAUCAAAAUCAAGGUGUUAAGACUUUGGAUUCGUGUGAAUCCAAAGAGAGAAGGAGAAACCCUUGGUAUUGAAAUGGUGGUCAUGGAUGAGGAGAUUUUAUUGGAUAUGUAGAUGAGUGGUCUGAACCAGAGAUGACCAAAACGAAGAUGGGAAAAGAUAGCAAAUACAUGAACUUGCAAUUGCUAGAUGAAGAAGAUAUCAAGUUAAACUGCACUUUAUGGGAUGAGUACUGCGAUA